rnacentral:rRNA from 1 species
AUUGAACGCUGGCGGCAGGCUUAACACAUGCAAGUCGAGCGAGCGGCGGACGGGUGAGUAAUGUCUGGGAAACUGCCUGAUGGAGGGGGAUAACUACUGGAAACGGUAGCUAAUAACGCAUACAAUCAGAUGUGCCCAGAUGGGAUUAGCUAGUAGGUGGGUUAAUGGCUCACCUAGGCGACGAUCCCUAGCUGGUCUGCGAGGAUGACCCGCCACACUGGACAUGAGACACGGUCCAGACUCCUACGGGAGUCAGCAGUGGGGAAUAUUGCACAAUGGUCGCAAGCCUGAUACACCCAUGCCGCGUGUGUGAAGAAGGCCUUCGGGUUGUAAAGCACUUUCAGCGAGGAGGCGUUACUCGCAGAAGAAGCACCGGCUAACUCCGUGCCAGCAGCCGCGGUAAUUC